GUAAUAAAAAGAUAACAUCCAUUAUAGAUAAAUAGAAAAUAAAAUUGUAUAUUGAAGUAUUUGAAGUAUAAAGAAAAUAAAAUCUGAACGGAAUAAAAGGGUGACUAUAGAAAGCAUAGAGAAUCUAUCCAUCGUAUUAAGGUAGGUUGCAGUGACAGAGGUGCAAAGCAAUGGAUCCGCUGUCGGCUCUUCGGGAGUUUACGAUGAGAGGGGAGGUGGAGAAGAUAGUGCGUGUCAAUGGUGAGUUCAGAUUUGGGGAGGAGUACACCUUCCCCUGCUGGGUGGAGACAGCUUAUCGUUCCACAAAGGGCAACCGGUACACUCUGGAAACCCUAGUCCACUACAUCAAGAACCACCACCUCAAGCACACCGAGUACAUCCAGAACACCUUCGCCGUUGGCAUCCCCUCCGUUACCCUCCCCGACCGCAAACCCCUUCUCCAGUACCUCCAGGGCACCCUCACCUCCACUGAUUCCAUCGAGUACCGUCCUGAGGACCCCUCCUUCGCCCCCAAAUCCACCCUCCCUUCGCAGACCCAGGCCCACCCCCAGCCCCAGGAACAGCCCGACAAAUUAGACCUCAUCUCUCUCAUCACUUCCGCCGAGAGGCCCUUGAAGGACCGCCAAUCCCUCCUCGAGUGCAAGAAUCGCGAUUUCUACAGCGUCCUCGUCUCCGCCACCAAGCGUGAGGAGGACCGCCAGAGGAUGGAAUCGCAGCAGAGGAAGGACGGCCUCGUCGCCAAGAGUCGCUUGAUGGCCGCCGAUGACAGGGGUUUAGGGUUUUCCGACGACAUGGGCGGGUACGAUCCCACCCCAAAGCCCAAGAUGCUCUUGAAGGGCACCAAAAUUGGAGAAGGCGUACCCAUUAUCUUGGUCCCCAGUGCCUUUCAGACCCUUAUCACUAUCUACAAUGUGAAGGAGUUCUUGGAGGACGGUGUUUAUAUACCCACUGAUGUGAAGGUGAAGCAGAUGAAAGGUGCCAGGCCCGAUUGCGUCACUGUCCAGAAGAAGCUCAGUAGGGAUAGGGUUGUAACCGCUUAUGAAGUCAGGGAUAAGCCUUCUUCUCUUAAACCCGACGACUGGGAUCGGGUCGUUGCUGUUUUCGUGUUGGGCAAGGAGUGGCAGUUUAAGGACUGGCCUUUCAAGGACCAUGUUGAAAUUUUCAACAAAACAGUUAUUGGAUUUUACAUGCGAUUUGAAGAUGAUAGUUUGGAGUCAGCAAAGAAUGUCAAGCAGUGGAAUGUCAAGAUUAUCUCGAUUAGUAAGAAUAAACGACAUCAAGAUAGGGCGGCUGCAUUGGACGUGUGGGAAAGACUAGAAGAAUUUGUUCGCGCACGAUCACGUUCUUGAUUUUUGUACCAUAUUUAGAGUUCAUGACUAUGUAGUAAUUUCUCAACCAAACAGGGUGGAGGGAAGCUGCUGGGGCGAUAGCAAAGGAGUUGUUGUUCUACUUACCAUUGUUACACUGACUGGUGGGUGGUGUCUGCACCUGGCAAGCACGUGGCAAGGCCAGAGCUUGAGUUUGGUUGAUGUUGAUCCCCAAUGAUGAUCCACCACCACUAAGAACCUGGCAAA